AGAGUUUGAUCCUGGCUCAGGACGAACGCUGGCGGCGUGCCUAAUACAUGCAAGUCGAGCGAAGACGGCAAGCAGAAGCCUUCGGGCGGACGCUUGCGGGUCUUAGCGGCGGACGGGUGAGUAACACGUGGAUAACCUGCCCUUUGCUCCGGGAUAACAGGCCGAAAGGCCUGCUAAUACCGGAUAAGCUCACGGCCCCGCAUGGGGCUGGGAGAAAAGGCGCUAGAGCGAUUGGCGCUGGCAGAGGAGGGGUCCGCGGCCCAUUAGCUAGUUGGUGAGGUAACGGCUCACCAAGGCGACGAUGGGUAGCCGGCCUGAGAGGGCGACCGGCCACACUGGGACUGAGACACGGCCCAGACUCCUACGGGAGGCAGCAGUCGGGAAUUUUGCACAAUGGCCGAAAGGCUGAUGCAGCAACGCCGCGUGAGCGAGGAAGGCCUUCGGGUUGUAAAGCUCUGUUGCCUGCGAAGAAGGGCCCUGUCAGGAAAUGGGCAGGGUUUGACGGUAGCAGGCGAGGAAGCCCCGGCUAACUACGUGCCAGCAGCCGCGGUAAUACGUAGGGGGCGAGCGUUGUCCGGAAUUACUGGGCGUAAAGGGCGUGUAGGCGGCCUGUUAAGUCAGGGGUGAAACUCCGGGGCUCAACCCCGGGCGUGCCUCUGAAACUGAUGGGCCUGAGUGCUCUAGAGGGCAGUGGAAUUCCCGGUGUAGCAGUGAAAUGCGUAGAGAUCGGGAGGAACACCAGUGGCGAAAGCGGCAACCUGGACGGUAACUGACGCUGAGGCACGACAGCUGGGGGAGCAAACAGGAUUAGAUACCCUGGUAGUCCCAGCCGUAAACGAUGAGUGCUAGGUGUUGCGGGUAUCGACCCCUGCAGUGCCGUAGUUAACGCAAUAAGCACUCCGCCUGGGGAGUACGGCCGCAAGGCUGAAACUUAAAGGAAUUGACGG
rnacentral:rRNA from 1 species